UUGGAGUCUGCAACUCGACUCCAUGAAGUCGGAAUCGCUAGUAAUCGUAGAUCAGAAUGUUACGGUGAAUACGUUCCCGGGCCUUGUACACACCGCCCGUCACACCAUGGGAGUGGGUUGCACCAGAAGUAGAUAGCUUAACCGCGAGGGGGGCGUUUACCACGGUGUGAUUCAUGACUGGGGUGAAGUCGUAACAAGGUAACCA
rnacentral:rRNA from 1 species